GAGUCUGAGAAGGGGAUUUGGGGGAGGCUUAAGGUAGAAACAAAAGAUCUCAGUUUUGCCAUCCAAAUCAACCCAUGGCCAGAUCAGAUUUAGGAUUUCUUCUGAAUUUUGUCCUUGGAGGUGUGGGAAGAAUGAAUAUUGAAUAUUCAUACUCAACAUGAAUAUUUUGGAAGCUGGGCCUGAAAGUUAAGGUUCACUGAAAGCUAAAAAUGAGAUGAACUCAGUGAAAGUACUGUGGAAAGAGGCACCUGGCUGGAUAUUUGAAUCUUCUUAACCCUGAGCUCUGCUUCAGUCUCAUCUGUUGUGUUCAUGACAUGACUCUCUAAUCACUAUGGGCAAUUGGGAAAAUGGUUAUUUUCAAAAAGAAAUUGACUUGUCUCUUCGUAGUUUAAUGUAGAAGCAGGUAUAGUUUGGUUAUGGUGAAAUCUGGUAAGUUGGUCUUUGUGAUAAUACAUACCUUUUGGUUUCAGAAAACAUUGUAUACUUAUUUUCUAUAUGACUAAUUUUCCGAGCACUUUUCAUUCUAGAUAAUUUAUCUUCAUCCCCUAAAAUUCCAGCAGAAACAAUUCUUCCUAUUUAAGAUAUCUUAGCAACUGGUACCCAAUUUAUCUAAUGUAUUCCCUUAGCCUCUAGGAGAAAUUAAAAAUAAUCUGUGGAGUACUGAGUAUAGUCUAAUAGCAGAAGGGUACCAUAGCCCAUUGUUUCUAACUAUUUGCAUCAUUUUUGGCAGGUCCAAUGACGGCAUCCACAGAUGAGGCCAAAGCUUGAAUGCCCUUGGAGCCUAUACUGCUUUUAGGCCCUGGCAGAAACAUGGUUUUUAAAUCACAUUCCAAAGUGCAAUUACCAACAAUGAAUAAAUACAUCAUAACAAUGGGGGAAGCAGAAAAUGACUUUAGAAAGACAGAGUGAUCUUUUGAGACACAGUCUAUAUAAUUCCUAGGAAGCCCUGAUAGUAUCUUCUUGGGAAAUCUCCCUGCUGCAGGAAACUGCCUUCCUAGAUUUUACCUCACUGCCUCUAGUUGCAGUUACUUCAGGUAAACAGACCUCCUUUUAACUGUGACUCUUCCUCAGAGAACCAAAAUAUGCUUUGUUUUUUCUUGGGCCCUAUAGGAUCCUGGUUUGGGAUAAAUCUCAUAUGUCUAUUUUCCAAAGAUCAUUUUGGUUUCUCUGUAUUUGUAAAUGCACUUGAUUGUAAUCACAAAAGAAAAGACAGUGAUGCACUGUGUUGGCUCUGAAGAAAAACAUUGACCAGACAGAAAGUCUUCCCCAUAGCCAAACUGAGCUGUAAUGACCGUGCUUUUCAUUUCUCCCAGGAAAUAGUAAUAUAAUUGGUCACUGUAUUACAGUAAACAGUUUGUUCAUUCUUUGUUCAGUAGAAAAUGUUUGGGAGAUAUGUCUCACAUAAUAUGCUGGCUUCACGAUAAUAAAGACUGGGAAUAGAUUUGUUUCUAAAUAAAUCUCAAUAAAUACAUUGGUAAAAUGAACACAGUAGGAAGAAUAAACAAUGCAAUUAGGAAUAUCUUAAGUACAUUUACAUGUGAUAAUUUGCAAGUGAUCAUUACAUUAAGACAUGUCUUGGGCUGAUUUUCUCAAGGGCAUUUGUGUGAAAAAUGAACAUUUCUGAAUUAGAAUUUUUGUCAUGGAAUAGAAACAAGAGGUAAGAACAUGUUUUCGAAUAUGCAGUAAAAAGAUCACCUGCUCCUCUGAAGACCUAACACUGACAUUCAUCUUAGUACAUAAAAGAGAAAAUAUGCUGAGGAUGGGCAAUGUAGGAGUAGGAACUAUAACAGCAACAGCUGCAGAGGUGACUGUAAUUCUAAUGGAUUGCUUGUAGUGACAUCGGCAUGCUUCUGAAUUUGGCGGGAAAGUAAUGCACAGAAUUAAGACAGCAGCAUUAGUGUUGUGUUUUCUUAUUAGAAAACCUCAACAGCUCAUUGAAUGCAGGAAAAUUUUAGAGAUUCUAUUUUGCAAGAAGCCAAUGUAGUGGCUGCAAAAGUAAUAACACCAAAAUGGAAUGCACUAGGGAAUGUAAGCAGCACAGGUUGGUACAUUAGUUUGAGUUAUUCAGCCAGUCCCGAAAAGGGUAAUAUCCCAUUUGAAUGACAGGCAAAGGAAUUCAGAAGGAUAACAGUCAUUUUCUUUAUUGUUGUUAUUGUUCUAGUUGCUUGUUUGUCAUUUUUUUAUUAGCUAUAUUAAGCUAAGGCAGCUUUUAAAAACUUAUUUUGAAUAUCCUUUUAUACAAUUGUAAAUCUGCACCCUUUCAUUCAUGCAUUUUAAAAGUUAUAUUCUGCAUGUUGAACAACCUGCUCAAAGCAGAGAAAAGUAACUUGUCCUUUAACUGGUAAGCCCAUUGUAAGGCAUCCUUGCACAUUUAACUGGAAAAUAUAUCUAAACAGCACUUGAUAAAAUUACAAGAAGUUGUAUUUAAAUUUAAUUUUCUCUGCAAGUACAGUUAGCAUCAUUUUUUACCCCCACUGGUCUCUAACAUACUAUUUUUGAGGAAGAAAAAAAUGUUUUUGCUACCAUGGCAACAGUAUCCUUCUCUUGCUUUCCAUCACAAACUAUAGUUUCUGAGCAUAACUAGGGAAAUUGAAAUGUGGGUAGCUCAAAAUGAUAAGGCCAAGCAUGGUAAGCAUUCAUCUAAAUGAAUAUUUGUGUCAUUGUUCUUGCACUCGUGGUAAGACUAGAACUUUCAAGGUCAACAUAUUUGUUCAUCGUGUUCACAGUGGCACUCAUAAAAGAUUAUUGCCACUUAUUGGGCAACUACUCUCUUCACUAAAUAUCUUAUUAGCAUGAUUUUCCAAAGAUGAUAGGAAAUUAAAACACUCCAUAGUACAGUUUAUUUUGUGGUUUUGAGGAAAUGUAAUACAAAGAAAGGGCACAUAUUCUAGUGAAUUUUAUAAAAGAAAUGAUCUGCUACUUGACCUGGAGUGUGUGCUGGGGGUGUGGGGGGAGGAAAUAGCAAAGGCUUAUAGAGAAACUGAUUGAGCUCAUUCUGUUAUUUGUUUCAGGGGUGACUCCAGGAUGGUGCCUCUCUUUGUGAUGUUCUCGCAAUAACAAUAUUCUUUUUAUUUUCCUUGAUCUUUCACAGCCUGUGGAUAUUUCAGCUUGCAAGGUUAAAUAAUGUUUUUGCUCCAUGGCCAGUUUUUAAAAUCCUCCCUGGCUCUGCUAUGACACU
ensembl:lncRNA novel transcript